rnacentral:misc_RNA from 1 species
CUUGUUUCGCUUUGUGCCCAUGCCCUUUCGGGGGCGGUCAUGGAUGCGGAGAUUGGCCCUCCGUGCCUCAUGUGCGGCGGGAUUAAGUGUAGGAUAUCGGUGUCGGGAUGGGCACGAUGAGUGGUGGACGGAGCACCAGUAGGAUAUUGUGUCCCCUGUCGCCUUAAGGGGCUCAAGAGACCCGGACUAGGCGAGCCGCCCUCCGUAUGAGGAGGGCGAUCUGUCUCGCAAU